GUGUCAAAUUUUUGAAAGCUGGCCCAUUCUUAAAAAUCCAAAUGCAUAUACAUUAAUUGAAGAGGAUUAUUCUGAUCUGAAAUUAUCAACGCAAGAAUUAACAUUGGAAAGUUGGAAAACUUUUUUUGUAAAAAUUUUAGCUGUUCGGCCACCGAAAAAAGACGAUGACAAUGCACAAGCUUUGAUAGAGUUGCUUCAAUGCGAAGAAUUGACCGACGAUACAAAAAUUGUUCUACAACUAAGACUUCUCCCACACCUACUUCCACCUAAAAACCGAAUUCGUCUGAAAAAAAAUCAGUGGAAACCAUUGAUACCUGAAUGUAAAGAUAGCAUUGUUAUUUCAACUACUUUAAUAGCAGAUAUCACGAAAAUACAAGAAGAAAAAAGAAAAGCAGCUGCUGACAUAGAGAUUACAUUGCAACCUUUUAUCAUCGCUGUCGGAUCCAACGCGGAUAUUUCUGAUAUUUUUAUAUCAGUUGAUGACACCUUGUAUAAGGUACCGUCA